GGAAGAUCCCUUCUGUAGCAAUGGUAUCAUCCGAGAGGUAGCGGCGCAGAUCAGACCGGCAUUUUGUUAAGAAAAUUAUUUUGAGCUUGUUGGCAUUGUUGCUAUGAUUACAGUGAUUAUUUAUUAAUUGGAACCCACCCGCAGAAGUUAGGUGAAGCAACAAAUCGCUGGAAUUCAGCCAAAUCGCCAGUCAACCAACAAUUUCUACGUGAAACAGAAACCCUAGCACAAACUGGAAACACUUCCAAGAUCAACCACCUGGCACAUAGCUUUCAUUAAAAACCGAAUAGUCUAACUAUUCUUUAAAAUAGCUUGUCGGAAAUGGCAUUAAGGAAAGAACAUAAUGGUCAACAUCACUAUGGGCCUGGAGGUCGGCGGCGAUACCGGUACCGGUUCUACCAGUCAACAAUCUCACCUGAAUGUCGAAGUUGUUCACCGUCGACAAGGAUGUGGUACACUAACAGAUUUCUCUUCUGCACCUGGAGCAACGGAAACCAUACAUUCUACUACUGGAUUAAGCGGAUGUGGUUAAAAGGAGAUACAAAACACUUGAUCCAUCGGUCGUGAAGGAAUUGGAGACGGAUGACUAAAUUCCUUGUCCGAUAUGGCUAGUAAAGAUUGGCCUGGAAACCCGUGAAUGGGAACACAAAUGAAAAUCGAAAAAGAUCCGAUCUUUACUCCAGGAAAUAUUACCUUUCGCCUGCAUCUACAUUGUUUCGGCAAAGGAUUUAAAUUUGUUUGCCUCAUCUCGAGUUCUAUUUUGGUAACAAAAAAUAUUUCGAGGAGCCUUCGACUUAUGUGAAACUGGUUUUGGUAGCGGCACUGGUAGUGGCAAAACUGCUCAUGGCCCUCCAUCGGGGUUGUUUGCCAGUGAGGUUUUGGAUCCAACGGAUAGAACCAACGUCUGGUACAAGGCAACAAUCAGCCCGCUAGAGAUCGAUGGACCAACUCUCCGUACGCCGUGCAUGCAGUAUAGUCCGUUGCAAAAUUUUCAUCUUUACCUGAAUCAUAUAACGUAUUAAUCACAAUCUACAAGUAUCAGGCGAGGAAGGCGAUAAGGUGCAAACGGCACUGAACAAUUGUGUACCAGGCAGUAGGCAAGAUAUCCAUUUGCGCCGAAUAUCCCACGGAACUGAAGUGCAAAUUAUUUUGCAAAACUUGAAAUUCCAGAAGGCCACAACAAUAAUAAUAACAACAUCAAAAGUAAUAUGGGCUCUACUGAUGAGGAGAUGGAGGUGGCGAACAAUUCCCAAAAGUGGUGCAUCAGUGGUUUUUAGCAGCCGAAUGUUUAACGGAUAUAAGAUUCUGCCACAACCGAUGUAUACAAAAACCGACGUAGUGGGAUAUUUUAAUUUGAACAUAUUGAUCCGAGUAUUCCACUGGAAAAGCUUUAAGCAAAAGUUUUAAAUUUUCACAGAAAUAUUUUCGCUAUGAUUGGAAAUCACUAGAGUAAUCCGG